rnacentral:rRNA from 1 species
GCAUGCAAGUCGUACGCACGCGCUUCGGCGCGUGAGUGGCGCACGGCUGAGUAACACGUGGGAACCCGCCCUCCGGUGGGGGAUAACGCGACGAAAGUCGCGCUAAUCCCGCAUACGUCCGCAAGGGGAGAGCGCUUCGGCGCGCCGGAGGAGGGGCCUGCGGCCCAUCAGGUGGUUGGUGGGGUAACGGCCUACCAAGCCGAUGACGGGUAGCUGGUCUGGGAGGAUGACCAGCCAGACUGGGACUGAGACACGGCCCAGACUCCUACGGGAGGCAGCAGCAAGGAAUUUUCGGCAAUGGGCGCAAGCCUGACCGAGCAACGCCGCGUGCGGGAUGACGGCCUUCGGGUUGUAAACCGCUUUUCGGGGGGACGACUACGACGGUACCCCCGGAAGAAGCCCCGGCUAACUCUGUGCCAGCAGCCGCGGUAAGACAGAGGGGGCGAGCGUUGUCCGGAGUUACUGGGCGUAAAGCGCGCGCAGGCGGUGGUCUCAGUGUCGUGUGAAAGCCCCCGGCUCAGACCGGGGGAGGUCAUGGCAAACUA